GACGAACGCUGGCGGCGUGCUUAACACAUGCAAGUCGAACGGAAAGGCCCUGCUUUUGUGGGGUGCUCGAGUGGCGAACGGGUGAGUAACACGUGUGUAACCUGCCCUUGACUUUGGGAUAACUUCAGGAAACUGGGGCUAAUACCGGAUAGGAGCUCCUGCUGCAUGGUGGGGGUUGGUAAGUUUCGGCGUUUGGGGAUGGACUCGCGGCUUAUCAGCUUGUUGGUGGGGUAGUGGCUUACCAAGGCUUUGACGGGUAGCCGGCCUGCGAGGGUGACCGGCCACAUUGGGACAGAGGUACGGGCCAUAGUGCUACGGGAGGAAGCAGUGGGGAAUAGUGCACAAUGGGCGGAAGCCGGAUGCAGCAACGCCGCGUGCGGGAUGACGGCCUUCGGGUUGUAAACCGCGUUCGCCUGUGACGAAGCGUGAGUGACGGUAAUGGGUAAAGAAGCACCGGCUAACUACGUG
rnacentral:rRNA from 1 species